AUCUUUAUCCUCUCACGUGGAUAAGAUGUUUGACAUUGUUUUAAAAGGAGGAGAAGAGUGUGGCAUGUGCAAGAAAAAUUUUGGAGAGAAAAUCUAGGCAUGAGGAAUCCUUGUGUGCAAGGUGAAGGUCUAUAUCCUUCUGAGAGAAAAAGAAAGAAAAGAAAGAAAAAGUGUGCGCAGGGUUUCAAUGAGUUCUUCAGGGUUUCAGCCUGGAGUUCGGGAAGUGAGAAGGUGAGCUACGAGUG
rnacentral:lncRNA from 1 species